rnacentral:rRNA from 1 species
UCCGUAGGUGAACCUGCGGAAGGAUCAUUACCGAGUGUAGGGUUCCUAGCGAGCCCAACCUCCCACCCGUGUUUACUGUACCUUAGUUGCUUCGGCGGGCCCGCCAUUCAUGGCCGCCGGGGGCUCUCAGCCCCGGGCCCGCGCCCGCCGGAGACACCACGAACUCUGUCUGAUCUAGUGAAGUCUGAGUUGAUUGUAUCGCAAUCAGUUAAAACUUUCAACAAUGGAUCUCUUGGUUCCGGCAUCGAUGAAGAACGCAGCGAAAUGCGAUAACUAGUGUGAAUUGCAGAAUUCCGUGAAUCAUCGAGUCUUUGAACGCACAUUGCGCCCCCUGGUAUUCCGGGGGGCAUGCCUGUCCGAGCGUCAUUGCUGCCCAUCAAGCACGGCUUGUGUGUUGGGUCGUCGUCCCCUCUCCGGGGGGGACGGGCCCCAAAGGCAGCGGCGGCACCGCGUCCGAUCCUCGAGCGUAUGGGGCUUUGUCACCCGCUCUGUAGGCCCGGCCGGCGCUUGCCCAACGCAAAUCAAUCUUUUUCCAGGUUGACCUCGGAUCAGGUAGGGAUACCCGCUGAACUUAAGCAUAUCAAUAAGCGGAGGAAAAGAAACCAACCGGGAUUGCCUCAGUAACGGCGAGUGAAGCGGCAAGAGCUCAAAUUUGAAAGCUGGCUCCUUCGGGGUCCGCAUUGUAAUUUGCAGAGGAUGCUUCGGGUGCGGCCCCUGUCUAAGUGCCCUGGAACGGGCCGUCAGAGAGGGUGAGAAUCCCGUCUGGGAUGGGGUGUCCGCGCCCGUGUGAAGCUCCUUCGACGAGUCGAGUUGUUUGGGAAUGCAGCUCUAAAUGGGUGGUAAAUUUCAUCUAAAGCUAAAUACUGGCCGGAGACCGAUAGCGCACAAGUAGAGUGAUCGAAAGAUGAAAAGCACUUUGAAAAGAGAGUUAAAAAGCACGUGAAAUUGUUGAAAGGGAAGCGCUUGCGACCAGACUCGCCUCCAGGGUUCAGCCGGCAUUCGUGCCGGUGUACUUCCCUGGGGGCGGGCCAGCGUCGGUUUGGGCGGCCGGUCAAAGGCUCCCGGAAUGUAGUGCCCUCCGGGGCACCUUAUACCCGGGAGUGCAAUGCUGCCAGCCUGGACCGAGGAACGCGCUUCGGCACGGACGCUGGCAUAAUGGGUCGUAACGACCCGUCUUGAAACACGGACCAAGGAGUCUAACAUCUACGCGAGUGUUUCGGGUGUC